CCUACGGGUGGCAGCAGUGAGGAAUAUUGGUCAAUGGGCGGGAGCCUGAACCAGCCAAGUCGCGUGAGGGAAGAAGGUACUGAGUAUUGUAAACCUCUUUUGCCAGGGGACAAAUGCGGCCACUUGAGGCCGUAAGAGGGUACCUGUACAAACAGCAUCGGCUAACUACGUGACAGCAGCCGCGGUAAUCCGGAGGGUGCGAGCGUUAACCGGAUUUAUUGGGUUUAAAGGGUGCGAAGGUGGUGGCUCAAGUCAGCGGGGAAAUGUCGUGGCUCAACCGCGGCAAGCCGUUGAAACUGGCGUGCUCGAGUUGGAGAGAGGUGUGGGGAAUUCGUGGUGUAGCGGUGAAAUGCAUAGAUAUCACGAAGAACACCGGUUGCGAAGGCGGCAUACCGG
rnacentral:rRNA from 1 species